UCGCAUUCUCAGGGCAGGGUGAAAUUCCCUACCGGUGGUAAAGCCCACGAGCGUUUAAAAGUGCGGUCAAUUUUUGGCAAAUUUUUCCUGCGAAAUUGUCCUGAUUUUCACUUUUAAAGUCAGCAGAUUUGGUGAAAUUCCAAAGCCGACAGUAAAGUCUGGAUGAAAGAGAAUAAAA
rfam:Haemophilus influenzae Rd KW20, complete genome.